rnacentral:rRNA from 1 species
CAUGAAGUUGGAAUCGCUAGUAAUCGCGGAUCAGCAUGCCGCGGUGAAUACGUUCCCGGGCCUUGUACACACCGCCCGUCACACCAUGAGAGUCGGGGACACCCGAAGUCCGUAGUCUAACCGCAAGGGGACGCGGCCGAAGGUGGAUUCGAUAAUUGGGGUGAAGUCGUAACAAGGUAUC